rnacentral:lncRNA from 1 species
GUGAUAUUUAUAUAUAUUGGUUAUUAGUAUUAAAAGAAAUAUAUUAAUUAAAUAAAUAUAAAUAAAAUUUAUAAGGUUGAAUGAGAGAAUAACAUGUGACGUUAUUUGUAAUAUUUUAUUAAUAUCUAGAUUUAGAUUUAUCUUCAACAAGUUAAUCCAAGAUGAAAAGAAAACUUGUAAUCUUUUUGAAACUAGUGCUUUGCACCCGCGCGUUGCGGCGGAAACACACUUGGCUGAAUGCCCUUGCAGAACCUACUGCUGUGUAACCACAAUAUAUAGACGGAGUUUCGCAAAACCGAAACACAUAAGAAGUCUUGACAACACCAAAACUUGGUACAACCGACUGGCGACAGUAGAAUAUGGUAAACAGCGGGGAGAAUCGUUAAACAACCAUAUAAAAAGCUACCAAAUGAAACGUAGAUCCUCCUUAGCAGAUCAAUUGAUUUCUGCACAUGAAAAAAUAAUUAUCGAACACACAUUACAUGCUUAUGUCCAAAUAGACAAAACUAAAGGUAAACAUUUGAAGUUGUUUUGCAUUUGAAACUGAA